rnacentral:rRNA from 1 species
UACGUAGGUGGCAAGCGUUGUUCGGAAUUAUUGGGCGUAAAGAGCUCGUAGGCGGUCUGUCGCGUCGAUCGUGAAAACUUGGGGCUUAACCCUGAGCUUGCGGUCGAUACGGGCAUGACUGGAGUUCGGCAGGGGAGACUGGAAUUCCUGGUGGUAGCGGUGAAAUGCGCAGAUAUCGGGAGGAACACCUAUGGCGAAGGCAGCUCGCUGGGACGUUACUGACGCUGAGACGCGAAAGCGUGGGGAGCAAACAGG